rnacentral:siRNA from 1 species
GACAAGUACUAGAUCAUAUUAGU